UAAUAAAGUUUUACUCAGAAUAGAUCUAUUGAAAUUAAUGGGCCUACCUUAGUCAUGUCCAUUAAUUUCAAUGGGUCUACUCUGAGUAAAACUUCAUUG